rnacentral:rRNA from 1 species
AUUAAACGCUGGCGGCAUGCCUUACACAUGCAAGCCGAACGGCAGCACGGGGGCAACCCUGGUGGCGAGUGGCGAACGGGUGAGUAAAGCAUCGGAACGUGCCCUGGAGUGGGGGAUAACGUAGCGAAAGUUACGCUAAUACCGCAUAUUCUGUGAGCAGGAAAGCAGGGGAUCGCAAGACCUUGCGCUCUGGGAGCGGCCGAUGUCGGAUUAGCUAGUUGGUGGGGUAAAGGCCUACCAAGGCGACGAUCCGUAGCGGGUCUGAGAGGAUGAUCCGCCACACUGGGACUGAGACACGGCCCAGACUCCUACGGGAGGCAGCAGUGGGGAAUUUUGGACAAUGGGCGAAAGCCUGAUCCAGCCAUGCCGCGUGAGUGAAGAAGGCCUUCGGGUUGGUUAAA